rnacentral:tRNA from 4 species
GGAGCGGUAUCGAAGUGGUCAUAACGAGGCUGACUCGAAAUCAGUUGUACAGCAAUGUACCGUGGGUUCGAAUCCCACCCGCUCCGCCA